UGGAGCCAGUCACAGUUAGCUGUAAGCUACAGCAAGUUUUCUUGUCUGUUUGUUCACUUUUAGUUCAAAGUGUCCAUUAAAGUGAGCCGAAUUAUCCGCGAGGAGCUCUUGUUUACAAUGGCGCCAUGAAUUUACGGACAAUUGUCACCGGAUUACUUUAAAACUGAAGAGAACCUAAAAACACGAAGAUUCUCAGGAAAACCAGACGAGCACGGCUCGCCCCCCAACCCCCCCACCACCCCCCCAACACGUGGACCAGGAAGACAUCCAUGUGUAGAGAGAACCUGAGGAGACGUCUGUCCUCGAACCGGGGAGCUGGUUUCCAUCAAACCCAGUUACAUAAUCCAGGACAGACUGGUCUGGGUCCAGGUCUAGUUGUCCUUGAAUCCAGAGGGGGGACGUCAGAGUCCUCGUCACACCUGCCUCCUUCCUCUAAGGUCGGCAGGCGUGACACCGUCCACUGUCUCCUCUACCUCCUGAUGACAGUCAGAUCAGACACUGCGUCGCUUCAGAAACGUUGAUGCGAAACACAUAAACAGUGUCUUUGUUCCAUCUUCUGGCUCCUCCUGAGGGACUCCAUGCAUUCUGGGAAGUGUAGUUC